AGCCCCUGGUUCGAAACCAGGCAGAAACUUUAAAGUAAUGUUUUGUCCGAUUGUAGAUAAUAAAUGUGUGUGACAGUCCAUGAGUGUUCACAAGAUGGCCAGUCGGUACUGCAUUUCCUGUAAAAGAGUCCCAGGAUAUGGCAAAGUGCACUGGCAAGUCUAUGUUCACUAAAGGACUGUCCUGUCAACAUUUCAAAAAGACAGGCUAUCAUUGGGUGCUUUUCACUUUUAAACGCACCUAAACACAAAAUUUUGUGGGCGCCGUGGUAGACGCCCUACGGGGAGGGGUACUGUCAGGCUUUAUUUAUUUAUAGGUUUUAUUUUGUAACAAUUACGGUUUCUGUGCAUCAUGUUAGUUUCCACUUUUGUUUUGAAAGGACUUAGUCAUGUUUUUGGUUCCAGUUUCAUUUCCUGUUUUAUGUUGAAGGACUUCCGGUUUUUGUUCAUGUCAGCUGUUUCCUGUCACUCCCGGUUCACCAUGCACACCUGUCUCAGAUCAAUAAUCAGCCACCCGGAUUUAAGCACCAGUAGUCACCACAGUUAUCCACCAGAUGGUUGUACUCCUACCGUAACUUCCCAGCAUUCUUCUGAUCGCGUAUUUCGUGUUUGACCCUGCUCCGUAUUUUUGACUCCAGAUUCUCGUCUGAUCCUGACCUGUGUAUGACCCGGACUGUUUUUUUGACUUCGAUUCUAGAAUAAAUCCAAUUUUUUUCACCAUCUACAUCGUGUCCUGGCGCUGUGCAUUUGGGUCCUCUCUCUGCCGUUCCGUGACAAGGAGAAAGGAGUGACAGUAGUCCAGCCUAGAGGUGGAGGCCAACACCACUGAUUAUGUGGUGAGAGUCUCCCAAACCCAGCAGCACAGAGAAAGCAGUGAUACCUUCUCUACUGGUUAGGACUGGGAGGCUCCCCUCUGUCUGGACCAGAGGCUGGAGGGAGCGAAGAGCUGCAGGAUGCUAGAAGAAACCUCAUAAACAGGGACUUUAUCAACACCCAACAUCCACCAAAAUGAGGGGCCCUUGGUGGGUUGAAGAUGAACUUGAUUUGUUGAGAAGCCAGCUGGUCUUGAAGGUCUGGCUGUAAUGAAGAGAAUGCGUCCUGCAACUCUCGCUCUCUGAAUCUGCAUCAAUGCUUGAAAGGAGAUCUAGGUGAACAGCUCUGGUCGUCAUACACUUGAAGAUGAUUCCCCAUCUCUUCUCAGUUCUUCGUCCAAUCUUUAUCUGGUAUGGACCAAAACGGUCGACUCCAGUGGAAUAGAAAGCUGGUUUGUGGAGGCGUAGCCUUGCUGGUGGAAGAUUAGCCAUCCGAGGUUGUUUUGAUUUUCCAUGCCACCUUCUGCAUUCAGUGCACUGAUGCUGAUGUUGUCUGACUGCCCCUCUUCCUUGUAGAAUCAAUACUCCUCAUUUCGGCAAACCCCCGAGAUUUGCCGCCGUAUCAAACUCUGAUGAUGAUCCGACUGCUACUGGAGAUGGGCUUCCCUGUCAUCAACUUCUGAUAUUCAUCAGGAAAACUUUCCCGCUGUGCCCGCUGCAGUAAGCUGUUUUCUGCUUCUCGGUGGUUAUCUGCGGAGGAGAAGAUCGAGCCAGGUGACCAGAUCCUCAUCAAGGCCAUCAAACAAAAGACGUGGUCAAGUCCGCAGUGGGAGGGGCCAUACACUGUGGUACUCACUACACCGACGGCUGUAAAGAUCGAGGAGAGAGCUACGUGGAUCCAUCAAAACCACUGCAAGAGGGUAAUUCCCCUUGUUGGCACUGAGUAGGGGUGGAAGUCGACCGGUAUCAAAUACAGGAACUUGUCUGAAACAUGGAAGAGCAUGUGUACAUUUAAUUCUUAUCUGUGCCUUCCACUUUCUAUAUGUACUCUUAUUACUCUUGCUGACUCAAGUGACUCAAGUAUCAGGAAACAUGAGUGAAAUGUGUUGGCCCGUGCAUUGCCACUGGCUCUCCACACCAAACUGCGUAGUCCAUGGACAAAAGCGGGGAGAGUCAUCUGAGUCAUUUCAAUACUCCUAACCCAACAAAAUUGAGGGAAUAGCAACAUUGAUUCGAAUUUCAGCAUAACCAUAACAUUUUGUCGGCUUACCUGUGAGAAUGCCCUGAGGUUUGUAGUUCACUUCAUAUACUGUAUGGCAGGAUAGGCGACCUCUCAUGGAAGGGCACAUAUACAGAAUGUAAGAGCAACUGGUGAGCAACAAUUUUCAAUAAUGUUUUUCUUACUGUAAGUUGGUAAAAAGAAUAUGUCCACAGUAUAAUUUAAGGUGUGAGGAGAAUUAUUACAUACAGACAUUGAUUAACAAAUGUGUUUAAAGUAAAACCUUUUUUAUCUACCAGUUUAUUUAGGUUUAAAACUUAUUUCUGGAGUUCUAUUGGGAACAAAUGGCACAGCCCUGGCCCAUCAGUGCUAUCUGCCUAGCACUUUAAGUGAUCAAACUUUCUCACUUUCAGGUGAAACUUUGAAUUGAAUUCAACUGAAGACAGACCACAAGGCUUCACUAGCCACGUUGUUGAAUGGUGUCUAUGGUCUCCUCUUCCACAUGCAGAGUCCAAGCUUCUAUCUCAUCAGAUAUCACUGCAGUAUAGCCUCUUGUUCUUUCCAGCCACUAACUGUGAUGCUAACACUGCAGCACUCUGGUGGACCCUCUUGAAGACUCAGCUUGUACCAGUUUGUUUGUUCAGUUUAAUAACAUGUUAUUUUAAUGCCCAAUAAUAUGUCUAAAGUAGCAUUAUGCUCUUUGUUCAAUCUUCUGGGCAGCUUCCAUUGUAGGUGUACAUAUUUCAUUGAUAAAGAACAAAGUAUGGUUGUCAAGUAUACUAUUGUUUAUUUUUACAAGUUACUUUGUUUAAAACACAAAACAGGACAAAAGAAAGUAUUUUAACAUUAUAUAAUAGUGAUCUGAUCACUGUGCAUUUCCGCAAUCACGUGACUAUAACGCUGUUAUAGAUCUGCGUAAAUGUAAGGUCUGGUUUUACAGCACUGGUAAAUUGAGUCGGCUAUGGUACGGAGCCCCUCCUUCAACCAACUUAAAUACAAUUGAGACUGUAUUGGCUAUUCCAAAUUGGUUAUUGGUCCCUCGUAACAGGGUGGUGCCCCUGUAAAUUAAGUGAUUAUUAAUUCCAUUAAUAAUUAUUAAAUCAAUAAUAGUUAACUGUUUCACUUACCAAACUACAGACCUUUGUCAUAUAGGUAUAUAUUUAAGCUAAUAACCAAAAUUUGUGAAUUUAAAUUAUAAACAUAAUUGGUAUCUCCACUCAGGAGCUAUAAAUCCAAUUAUUAUAAUUUGUGCUCCUUGCAUAUCCCCAUAAUUGGUGCAAACCUGUGUGAGGUAAAUCAAACUCAGCCCUUUCUGAGACUAGGUGGUGUUGCUAAUUCAUUUGGCAAUACCACUGUCAGGGUGCGGCUGAGAUCGGACCCACAUGCACGGUGUAAGGACACCAGGUAGAUGGUAAAGAAUCAGGGUUUAUUUCGGUAAUUGUAGUCGCAGACAGUCCAGUCCGUGGUAUGACCAGAAAUGGAAGUGCUUACAAAAUAAAACAGGAAACUGGAACCAAAACCUGACAACUAAGGUGAAACAGAAAAGUCCUUUAAAAUAAAACAAGAAACAAAAACCCAGAUCAUGACAACCACCACCCUCACAUUGCCCCAACAGUGGACACAUCUUGAAACCUGGUAGUAUCUGCAGAAAGGGAAAAAAAGAAAAUCAGCAAUGGGGAAAAAUGCAUGCAAGAUUAAAGUUCGUCCUGGCAGUUCCUAGCUGACACUGGAAAAAUUAGACAGAAAGUUCAUUUUAAUAUUUAAAAUGCAUGCGUGCCCAGAGGCUUCAACCAAAUUUGGGUAAAUCCUGUUCAGUUUAAGAAAGCUUCCCACCAUCAAUUUGUAGUUUGUGUGUGCGUGCACAUAACUGGGUUUUGUGUUUGUCUUUGUUUAUGUAAUGAAACAACAAUCUUGUUUUCCCAGCCUCCAUUUUAGCUGAGUGUCCCCAUCCUUGUCCCAACGCUUGCUGUUGUCCUGUGUGUGGCCACUGUAAAGGCACCAGGCUUGAUUGCACCUCCUCCAGUUCAGUUUCAACUGCAAAGGUGCCUGCACAUCCACUGGUCAUGUCGCUCGACCUCCACACUGGAAUCCAGGCUCCCGCCACACAGAGACCAGGUAUGACACAAGCAAAGAAACAGCAUCCCUGUCCCAUUUGCAGUGUUGGGGGACCUCAUAUGUAUAAUCUGUUAUUAACAGAAUUAUUAUUAAGGUCCCACAUGCUCAAACAAAGGAGGUACUGCGGCCUGCAUGUAAAGUCCUCAUCCUGAUAGUAGUGAGUGAGGACAAAGAGAUUUCAAAUCUCAGCGCCAAAACCAGGCGCCAGGCUGGGGACCCAUACCUGGCUCCCCCGCUGACAUCCAGCUCCCGCUGACACAAGCGACAAACGGCGGAGAAACUUGGACGUCAGCCGGAAGAACUUGGACGUCAGCCGUCCUGAUUGGACCAAACAAUAGGACGGGCGUGACCAAAAACGCGGUUAUAAAAGUCGUCGUGACCCAAGACUCCUCCCUUGUUCUCUUCGAUCUCGUCCUCCCUUGUUCUCUUCGACCCUCUCGCUGCCCCACCUGGAGCUCCCUCUGCACCGGCACGCCUAAAGCCUCCACCGCAGCCAGCAGCUGAACUAACGGAGACGUCGUCACAGAGAACGGGCCUGAUCACCCAUCUACUUCCAGCCACACGGCAGGAAACCGCCAGCGUAACCGCCUCACUCGCCGCCGCAUCAGCUGAUCGCGACGCGAUCACCGCGACGCACACCUGGACCGGACCGGACCGCAACAGCGCAAGCACGCACGCACGCAACACCGGAGCUUCUCACCAGGAUUGAGCAGUAAGGCAGAGGCAUUCUUAAGUCUGAGCAGAGUAGAACUCUUAGGGUAUCAGUAAUUGUUUUAUUGUUGUGUUGUUUCUUUUCCUGCACACACAAUCUGACCGCUGUGUAUUUCCGCGAUCACGUGACUGUAACGCUGUUACAGAUCUACGUGAAUCUAAGAGGUGCAUAUUUAAGUGUUGUAAUCUGUGAUUUUACUAGCUUAAGUGCUUUAGUGUGUUACUGUGUAGUGUUCUGUUUCUUCUGCGACCACGCCAAGCGCACGUUUCAACCACUGCACGCUUCCGCGAUCACGUGACUAUAUCGCAGCAUAUAGCCCCACGUGUUUGUGUGACCACAAGCCUUAUCCACGCUAGUGCCACUUCACACUCCUUUACAGGCUUCUUUCCCUGUGAGCGCCAGACACGCGCGCUCCAUUCAAAGGGCUCACCGGCACACGCGCGCAGCUGUGCCAUCUCACCACGCCCCUAAAGGGGGGGCGCUCUCCUCCUCCUCCUCUUCUCUCUUUCUCUCUCUCUCUCUCUCUCUCACACACACACAUACACACACACACACACACACCCCUCUUAUCUCAGGUAACGCGCAUACACAUACAGAACGCUAGACGAACACACCAUAAGAUUAAGUUGUGAUUUGCUGAGUUAUUCAAGAUAGUGUUGACACUAGAGUUAAUAUUAACUGUUUAAUAAAGCGUUCAUAAUUUAA